GGGCGCUUAGCUCAGGGGGAGAGCGCUUCCCUGACGCGGAAGAGGUCAGAGGUUCAAAUCCUCUAGCGCCCACCA
rnacentral:tRNA from 3 species